rnacentral:rRNA from 1 species
GCCAGGGGUCUUACGAGCUUAAGCUUAAAACCCAAAGGACUUGACGGUGUCCCACCCACCUAGAGGAGCCUGUUCUAUAAUCGACACUCCCCGCUUCACCUCACCAUUCUUAGCCUCUCAGCCUGUAUACCUCCGUCGCAAGCUUACCUUAUGAACGUAUUAGUAAGCCCAAAGGUUCACCCACCUACACGUCAGGUCAAGGUGCAGCUUAUAAAAUGGAAAGCAAUGGGCUACAAUUUCUAACAUAGAAUAAACGAAAAACUGUAUGAAACACAGUAAUGAAGGCGGAUUUAGUAGUAAAAAGAAAAUAGUGUGUUCUUUUUAAUUAGGCUCUGGGACGCGUACACACCGCCCCGUCACCCUC